GGAGAGAUGGUCGAGUUGGUUUAAGGCACCGGUCUUGAAAACCGGCGAGGGUAACACCUCCCUGGGUUCGAAUCCCAGUCUCUCCG
rfam:Clostridium lentocellum DSM 5427, complete genome.